AUUGAACGCUGGCGGCAUGCCUUACACAUGCAAGUCGAACGGCAGCGGGCCUUCGGGUGCCGGCGAGUGGCGAACGGGUGAGUAAUGCAUCGGAACGUGCCAUUGAGUGGGGGGAUAACGUAGCGAAAGUUACGCUAAUACCGCAUAUUCUGUGAGCAGGAAAGCAGGGGACCGCAAGGCCUUGCGCUUUUUGAGCGGCCGAUGUCAGAUUAGCUAGUUGGUGAGGUAAAGGCUUACCAAGGCGACGAUCUGUAGCGGGUCUGAGAGGAUGAUCCGCCACACUGGAACUGAGACACGGUCCAGACUCCUACGGGAGGCAGCAGUGGGGAAUUUUGGACAAUGGGCGCAAGCCUGAUCCAGCCAUGCCGCGUGAGUGAAGAAGGCCU
rnacentral:rRNA from 1 species